GAUGAACGCUGGCGGCGUGCCUAAUACAUUCAAUUCGAGCGAACGUACUAGAAUCUUUCUUCUCUGAUGUUUGCUUCUUACGGGUUAGUAACACUUUGAUAACCUACCUUUUAUACUUUGAUAACUUCGGGUAACCUUGUCUAAUACCGGAUAAUAUUUUGAACCGCAUGGUUCAAAAGUGAAAGACGGUCUUGCUGUCUCUUAUAGAUGGAUCCGCGCUGCAUUAGCUAGUUGGUAAGGUAACGGCUUACCAAGGCAACGAUGCAUAGCAGACCUUAUAGGGUGAACGGAAAAAAUGGAACAGAGACACGGAAAAGAAUACUAAGGGAGGAAGCAGAAGGGAAUCUUCCGCAAUGGGCGAAAGCCUGACGGAGCAACGCCGCGUGAGUGAUGAAGGUCUUAGGAUCGAAAAAAUCUGUUAUAAGGGAAGAAAAUAUGUGUAAGUAACUGUGCACAUCUUGACGGUACCUAAUCAGAAAGCCACGGCUAACUACGUG
rnacentral:rRNA from 1 species